GACGAACGCUGGCGGCGUGCUUAACACAUGCAAGUCGAACGGAAAGGCCCUGCUUUUGUGGGGUGCUCGAGUGGCGAACGGGUGAGUAACACGUGAGUAACCUGCCCUUGACUUUGGGAUAACUUCAGGAAACUGGGGCUAAUACCGGAUAGGAGCUCCUGCUGCAUGGUGGGGGUUGGAAAGUUUCGGCGGGUGGGGAUGGACUCGCGGCUUAUCAGCUUGUUGGUGGGGUAGGGGCUUACCAAGGCUUUGACGGGUAGCCGGCCUGAGAGGGUGACCGGCCACAGUGUGACUGAGAUACGGCCCAGACUCCUACGGGAGGCAGCAGUGGGGAAUAUUGCACAAUGGGCGGAAGCCUGAUGCAGCAACGCCGGGUGCGGGAUGACGGCCUUCGGGUGGUAAACCGCUUUCGCCUGUGACGAAGCGUGAGGGACGGUAAUGGGUAAAGAAGCACCGGCUAACUACGU
rnacentral:rRNA from 1 species